GGGUUGUGAGGUUAAGCGACUAAGCGUACACGGUGGAUGCCCUGGCAGUCAGAGGCGAUGAAGGGCGUGCUAAUCUGCGAUAAGCGCCGGUAAGGUGAUAUGAACCGUUAUAACCGGCGAUACCCGAAUGGGGAAACCCAGUGUGACUCGUCACACUAUCAUUAACUGAAUCCAUAGGUUAAUGAGGCGAACCGGGGGAACUGAAACAUCUAAGUACCCCGAGGAAAAGAAAUCAACCGAGAUUCCCCCAGUAGCGGCGAGCGAACGGGGAGGAGCCCAGAGCCUGAAUCAGCAUGUGUGUUAGUGGAAGCGUCUGGAAAGGCGCGCGAUACAGGGUGACAGCCCCGUACACAAAAGCGCAUGUGCUGUGAGCUCGAUGAGUAGGGCGGGACACGUGGUAUCCUGUCUGAAUAUGGGGGGACCAUCCUCCAAGGCUAAAUACUCCUGACUGACCGAUAGUGAACCAGUACCGUGAGGGAAAGGCGAAAAGAACCCCGGCGAGGGGAGUGAAAAAGAACCUGAAACCGUGUACGUACAAGCAGUGGGAGCCCCACCACUAAGCCAGUGGUGAACUCCACAUACGCAUCCUUUGCUGAGGAUACGGUUAACGGAGCGAAAGCGACGUUCAACCUCAAAAGAAGCAGAGGGGGCUUAGUGGUGGGGUGACUGCGUACCUUUUGUAUAAUGGGUCAGCGACUUAUAUUCUGUAGCAAGGUUAACCGAAUAGGGGAGCCGGAGGGAAACCGAGUCUUAAUUGGGCGUUAAGUUGCAG
rnacentral:rRNA from 1 species